UGGGAAUCCUAGUGGCGAACGGGUGAGUAACGCGUUGGUGACCUGCCCCAAAGUGUGGGAUAACAGUCCGAAAGGAUUGCUAAUACCGCAUGUGGUCAUUGGAUUUAGAAACCGAUGACUAAAGGAGUAAUCCGCUUUGGGAGGGACCUGCGUCCCAUCAGCUAGUUGGUGAGGUAAUGGCUCACCAAGGCUACGACGGGUAGGGGACCUGAGAGGGUGGCCCCCCACAAUGGAACUGAAACACGGUCCAU
rnacentral:rRNA from 1 species